UCUUGGUAACAGCUGAUAGCGACAUAUUAUAACGAGGCUUCGUUUAUUUCAACAAACCAUUCGCAUUCGUUGUUUCGUCGUUAGCAAAACGUGCAGAAUAUAUGGUUGAAACGUGUAGAAGAUAUUAGUAAACGGUAUUUGCUCGUUCUAUAUAUAAUAGCAAGGUAUGUGCACACUUCUAACCUCAAUUAUACGAUUAUAAAGCAGCAUUUACGAUUAUUUUCUACGCUGUGUUUAUAAUAAUAUUCGUAGAUUAGCCCUCAAAGAUACGGAUGCAAACACAGUGCACCGUUAGAUGCAAGAUUUGUUCUCAUUUUUUUUUAUCGAUGUUCUAAUAAAAAUGUUUAAUCGUACAAUGAGGCACUUUUUAUUUCAAAGUAUCUUCUAUUUAUCGGUUAUAUUCAAAAUGCCCUAAAUGUCGAUUUUCAUACAAUUUUUACAAUUGUAAGAAGUUCAAGCGCUCCGAUCAUCAAUGACCACCGUGACGUCACAGGAGAAACCGUGGCCAACGUGGCAGUCAAAGUGUUAAAAGCACAGGAGACAGAGAAAAACAAUAGAAGAUAUUCGUACGAACUUACCAGAGCUUGUUUCAGAGUCAUAGACAUUUUUGUGUUUCAAUGGCAAGCAACUGCUUUGCAAUGGAGUCGUGCAAGACCUACUGUCUGACCUGCUCGUUCCUCGGAUUUAAAUCCAGUAGAUUUUUUUAUUUCUGCAGUUACUUCGAAGCAAUUGUGCAUUCGAUGGCCAUUGCCAGUGUUGAAAUAGUUCGUGCACGUAUACAACAAGGUUGCCAACAGAUUCAACGAAUAGCUGGAAUUUUUUUCAAUGUUGUGAAAUUCUUUGAUACUGACGACUGCAGGUUUGCAUACAGUGCCGAGUGUGGCAGUCAUUUUGAGCAGCUGCGGAUCAUCGGGACAUCGAAAUGACUCUAACUUUGAAACGAGAUCAGAUAGAAGAGCAUGUGAACAUUUUCCCUCAGUUUCCGUACUUUCUGUUCUGUUAGUAAGAAUUAAUGAAACUCGAAUCACGAGCAAAUAUUUACAAUUCCCAUUGGUGGUGGCAACGCAUAUCAAAUGCUGCUAAUGAAAUGUCAAUUAACGUCAUUUAGCGAGAAAUAUUCGUAAGGGCGUUUAUACGAUGGUUCCUCGAAUCGAGACAACUAUGUCACUGUCGAUAAAUUUUCCACUAUGUUGGUAAUUAAUAGGCAAUACGAACUUGUCAAACGCAGUAGCUUUACACGUUUGCUAGAGAAAACUAUCCCUGCUAAACGUUGUAUAAAUAGAGAAGCAUUUCGAUUUUCGAUGGUUCGACUCUACCAAAAUUUCCCCCUUCGAAACUAAAUUUCACACGCAUAUUCUAUUUUGAAAGAAAAAUAUCGAAUAAUCGAACAGAAGGAGGAAAUAUUAAAUUAAAGUAAAUAUCGAAUCGGAUUGAAUUUAAUCGAAGUAAAACGUAAAGGAAAGCUUCCUCGUUUCUAGAAACUACCGUUCCCAACAUUUCUUAAAAUAUGUGACAUCGGACAACGUAGUAUCAAGAAACCUUAACGUGGAAAGGGAUAAAGGAAAAAAGCAGGGAAUAUUGAAAGCAUCUUCCGAUCUGUAAAAACUAGCUACUUCUUCCAAAAUUCUCUAAAACCUUGGAAAAUAUCGAUCUCUACAAUACUCCACGCUAUAAUACACUAAUAAUAAUAAUAAUAAUAAUGUUGGUCCUCAAUGGUUUAAUAGAUACGCUCCUAAUUUCUAACUUGAGACCUUUCUAACUUGGGCGUUCGCUAAUAAAUAGACCGCGGAUUUUUAUGCAAGUUCAUACCUUGAAGAAUGUAACUAAAAGAAGUAGUAGGUGAAUUAAUUCCGUCUACAAUGGAGGACGAAAGAAAGUUUAAGAGGUAAGCGACACAGAUUCACAGAAAAAAAAGGAAAGAGUUUUACAAUCGACAGGAACAAUUACAUUAUAGUUAACAUAAAAUACAGAUGAUUGCUAUCAACAAGCUAAAGAAUAUCUAGUACAACGAAGCUACCGCCGACGACACGGUGUCGUUAUUACAAAGAAAUACGAUCUUCAAAUUCUCUUUUCGCCGCAAUCGCAAUUUUGAACUUUCCAAUUCCCUACAUACCUGAUAACAAUAGUGCAAUUACGCAAGAGAUUCCAUCAUCCGGAAAAAUCUUCCAAAAGCCAAACAUAAAGCCAUUAAUUCCGCCGAUAAUUCGCUGGCACCUUUCCGAGGUUUGGAACGCCUGCGUUCGUCAUGAAAAUGCAAAGAGACUGUGGAGAUCCUGAAUAGGACAAUGCGUUCCCAUCAGUGGAACUAAUUAAAUUCCGCAGCAACCAGGUUCGCUCUCGAGAUGACGACGUGCUAGCUUCUCUCUCUCUCUCUCUCUCUAUCUCUCUCUCUCUCUUUCUCUCUCGAGUCCUUUGGAUCGAGAUCCUUCUCGUUCGUAGGAAGGAUGAGGGCGAAACCUUGGCUGCACCGGCUCUCGAGGACGCUUUUCCAUUUCCUGACUGUAUGCCACGAUAAGCUAUCUGACCCGCGGCGACGUUCGAGGACGUUUCCAAGGCCCUAAAUCUCUACGUCAGAGCCACACUGGCGGCGACGUCUCGGUGACGUGGUAUGCUGCACCGGUAUAUAUGCUCGCUAGCCAAGCCAGGAAAUUGGGGAAAUGAAAAGUGGCGGGCCACUGUCAUCGACCUCUGACACGAUCCUCUGCGUGUCUUGAUGGAAUCGGAAACUGUCUUUGCCAGAAUUUGGCUUACGAUGGUUAUAGGCUGGCUUUCGCGAUUACGCUCAAGAUGUAUGGCUUUCGGGAGAAAUUUAGACGAAGGCUAGCGAAGGAAAUGGAUAAUAGGAUAUCGUAUUAUAUUAAACGUUAUCGUAUAUUUCCGUUGUUAGAAUUUUCAUUGUACAUGCGAUGGUCAUCUAAGUGGGUUUCGCGAUUAUCGUCGAGAUACGAUGGAUUAUUUGGAAAUUGACCGGGUUCAGUUCACUUUUGCGUUACUGAUGCAUCGCCAGCAAAUAACAGAGGUACAACGUUCGCGAGAAUAGAGGGAUGCUGUUACGGGCUGCAGCUUUUUCAAGGCUUUAAAGCUCGCGGAAAUUUUUAUCAAAGCAAUCUAUAUUUUAUUGUAAAGCAAUCUAUAUACAAUAAUAAUAAUGUUGGCUCUCAAUGGUUCAAUAGAUACGCUACAAAUUUCUUCUAACUCGAGACCUGUAAUAAGUCUAAUAAGUAGACUGCAGAUUUUUGCAAUUUUUAUGCAAGUUCAUAUUUUGAAGAAUGCAACUAAAAAAAAAGUAGUAGGUGAAUUAAUUCUGUUUACAAUGGAGGAUAUUAUACAUAUGUAUAUUAUAUUAUUAAAAACAUAAGAAAAUAGUUUAGAUCAAAUGUAUUUAUUAGGAUAUUUACCGAUCUUCGACAAAAUACGAUCAUUGAAUUUUAGAAUUUCGUAUCUUUUUAAAUAAGACCUUGGAAACUCGGAUGUCCAAGAGUUUUGCACAAAAUCAACAAAUUCGUUGCUAUAUUUGGCAGCGAAAAAUGAGCCACAAAAGAACCACAGAUCAUUAUUCGUUCGGUUGUGCUCUUCACAGUAUUUAGUAUUUACAGGUAUCUCGUAUCGGUUCGAUAGCUAGCACUAUACCGUGUUCUGUGCAGAAAAAUUGAUGGAAAAAAAAAAGAAGGAAAAAGAGAGGUGAAAGGUGUUCGUGGAAGGGGAAAAGAGGCCGAUGGAAGCUAUCUAUUUUUUCCUCCUCUUUUUUUCAGCGAGGAAAGCUAUCGAGCCUGUCGCCGGAAUAUGAUUCAUAAACGGAUCCAGAGGAACGUUUGACCCGGGCCGAAACGGUUCAAUAAAUUCUUCUUCCCACCCUUUCGCGUACAAUCUUCGUUGCAGCUUCGACAGCUCGUCCCAUUUCCAACAGAACAAACAAUUAUUUCCUCUGUCUGAUUCCAUUUGGAAAAACGACUCAUCGACCAGAGGAUGUUCGAUAAACAUCCCUUUUUCCUGGCUUUAUCUAUCCACGAUACAACGAUCGACCAUCUUUCGAACGUAGGCGAAGUCGAUACGUUUAUAUCGUUGUUUUUAGAGAGAAUUUCGUCGUUCGUUUCGUUGGCGAAUGCGACGCAAGGGGUUAAGGGAUGAUUUACAAGGAAAGGGAUGAACAGAGAGCGUCGAGAUAGUAUCGAGGGGGUGAGUUUCGAAAUGUCGAAAUCACAUCAUCGUGACAUCGAUAGUACGAGGCUGUGAAAAUUGUCUGGGAAUUUUGGAAAUGUUUUUCUUCGACGCUUUACGAAUGUAAGAUAAGAUAGAGAAGAUUAUGCAACAGCGGUGAGAUAGUUUCUGGAAUUUCCAAACUAUCAGGAUGACAGCGAAAGGUGGAAAUUUGGAAAUUUUUAAUAUCGUAUCGUCUAUGUUCGAUAUUGUUGUCUAGAAUUUGAAAAAUUAUAUCAUCGACCACGAAUAUUAACUUUGUACGAAUAUCGAACACCGUAUGAAAAGUUAAAUCGUUCAGGUGACAAAGAUUAUUCGAAACUUCGUACCAUUAUAUCAGGUUGUCCGAAAAGUUUCUUUCGUUUGCUAAGGUGAUGAUAGAUGAACAAUAAUUUCUGUUUUAUAUUAUUUUAUUAAAUUACCUAUGAUCCGUUUCCUUCUAUUUCUAUUAUUAUGUUCGUGCAUAAUUCGAUAAACCAAUAUAAAACAAAAAAACAUUGUGCGUCUAUUGUUUCCUUAUAAAACGAAGAAACAUUUCAUAACAUUUAUUUCAUCCUAUUUUCCAGUUCGAUUUUAGUAAUACUUGGUUGUAUUACGAAGCAGACUAAAUUUAUGAGAAUCUCCUGACGGAAGUAUCAAACUAAAAAUCAAAUGAAUUGCAAUAUUUUUGUUGUUGGAAACAGGGUAGAACAUUCCAGUUAUAUAAGGUUAAACAACAAAGAAGGAACCGCGAUACAUUACCAGGAUUAAUGGGGAAAGGAAAGAUUUACUGCAUCGAGAAUUUUGAGCGUUUAGCGAGAGAUAUAUAGGGGUGUGGGAAUCUGUAUCGGAAAAUCUGGGUCGCUGGAAAGCUAGUGCUCGACACGUUGAAAGAGAGAACGUAGAACGUGGCUCGGUCUAAAGCAACAGGGAAUAAGAACUUUACUGCAUCGAAACUUUUGAAAUACUGAGAAGAUAAAACUUGUAAUGUCUCAAAGAUUAAUCAUAUUUAGAAAGUAUCGACGUACGUGUAUCUACAGGCCAUAACUUUGCAUUGUCAUCUUGACUAUUUGAAAACUAUAAAUCUUACGAAAACCUUCUGUCUCUAAUUUUUCCUGCUUGUCUUUUAUGCUUAUAAAAGGAGGAAAAAUAUAAUUUUUAACACUAGAACUAACUCAAAUCGACUGGUCUUACAAUUUUAUUUGAAAAUUGUUACUCCGUGUUAUAUUCUUUUUUCAGGCAAUGACGUAAUGACUUUCGUAACGAUAACUAAAAGAACAAUAUAAUGAAUUUUAAUUUGCUUUUUGUGUAUUCAAACUGAAAAUAAUUUUGUAUCAAGGCUACUUAUACCAAUGCCAGUCAAAAUGACCAGUCAAAAGGAUCCUGCGAUCUGUUUAUCGAACCUCAAUUAAACAAUUUCCCCGUUUUGUACAACUUGCCACACGUUUUCAAAUUUUUACCGCGUAUCAUUCGACACGACGAUGUCGGUUAUCAGGAAAAUUCCGGAUCGAUCGCUACAUCGUUAGAUGCUAACACUAGAAAUACCACAGCAGUGAAAAUGACUGGUUCUACAAUUUUAUAAAUGUGUUAACCCUCGUUUAGGGAUCCCAGAUGGAUUAAUAAUACCAAAAAUGUACCACAUAACAUGGAAUUCCUUCUGUGAGAAAGUAAUAAAUCAAUAAAUAUAAAAAUAUUCCACUAUUACGUGUUUUUUAAAGACCAGUCAUUUUGGCUGGUUUUUGAUAGAAAUAGUUUCGUGUUAACUAUCGGUAGUUCUAGCGUUAAGCUAAUAUGUCGCGUAAUAUUAAACGAAACUAGUAAACUAUUUGAAUAUUUCUGAUUUCCUAAUGAUAGUAGCGGCAGUAGUAUAUAUAAAUCUUUGGAAAUAAAACUUGGAAGAAGUUCUUCUUUCAGUACCUACUUCUUUGAAAAUCUCCAACUUUCAACAUUCUACUCUACAAUUACUCUUCUUUUCUUCUUCUCAAUAGUCUACAAUCGUUAUUAUUCCGAAACUUCUCCUUUCACUUUUCGUUCUUUGCAAAAUUCGAAUAAUUUCUCUCUCCUCAUUUUACGCAUCACCCUUGAACUUGACUUAUUUACGAUCCUCUUCUUCUUAAGGUAUCUUACCGGUUUGAUUUUAAUUUCUACUAACUUUUAUCCGACUUGUUUCUUCUACUGUGAAGUAAAAAGGGCAGUGUAUAUUAAAAAUUAUUUCCGACCAAUAUACCUUGUCUUUCCAGAAGCAUCGCUGUACAAUUGGAAACUCUAUUAGGAAAACAAUUGGCAAUCUCUUCAAGAACUAAAAAUUAGCAAAUAUCAUCGAUCGAGAUUACUCAAAUUAAAAAUAAAAUAAGAUGGUAAAAUAAAUUCAGAAACACAUCCUUUUUAUAUACCGAAGAUGCUUCGAAAUUUCUUCAGAAUCAACUUCUAAUAAUCAUUUACGUAACAAUAAUAUACAAUAAUAAUGUUUGAAGACUUAAGAUUCGGUCAUCGAUAUCAAAAAAAAUAUUUCCAUAAAUCAGAUUGUUGGCUGUGACGAUUACACUUGCAGACAAAAUUCUUCUAUACACUAAGAAUGCUUCGAAAUUUUGCUAAGAUCCGAAAGCUCCUUAAAACCAGUUUCCACGAGCAUCUAGUGGAAUUUCGAAACUUAAAACUUCGUCAUCGAUAUAAGAAGAAUAUUCUGCAAAGCCUGAAGCACCUCGAAAUCCUCUCGAAAUUUAAAAAUGCCGAAGAGCAACCCUCCUCGAUAUCCCAAGAACCAUCCUUUAAGAUCCUUUAAAACCCUUCCUCGACCCCGAAACAAAAGAAAAUUCGGUGUACAACGCAACCAUCCGACCGCAUCGACGAUAGCCGUCGGUCUGAUAUCGAUAAUCGUACAACAACAUCCCGAAUCAUCUAUCCCCGUAAUAAUUUAAAUUAUUUAAUAAUUAAUUAAAUCCCCGUAGUUAGUAAUUUAAUUGAAUUAAACGAUUCCGUCUUCUCGAGAAUUACAAACGGCUAACCGAAUAUCGCAGUCGAAAUUUGGUCGCCGGUACACGAAGAAUACUCUUGCGAAUGCGAAAUAUUCGAAAAUGCCUUUGAAAUCGAGAAAUUCUGGAAAACUAGCGUAACUUCUCUGUGUCCGAAAAUCCCGCCUUCCAACAGCCUAAAGCCGUCUUUCAACGGCGCGACAAAAAGUUCCUGUAUUCAGCGUGAUCGUCUCAGCUGGUGGCAUCGACGACAGCCGACAGGGUAAUAUCGAAUUCCAUGUGGCACGCGAUCCUUUUAUUAUUCCGUGAAAGCGAAAAACUUGCCUGGUAUAGCAGGGACGCGCCCCUUCCGUCGACCUCGCCCCUUUUCGCCACCCUUACAUAUCCUCUCGCCCUACCUGCACCUCCUCCUCAGCCAUCUCUUGUCCCCCUUUUUCCUUCGUGGCUCGUCGCCGUAACGACAACGAUCGCCGAGGUUUCAAGGCUUUCCCGUGACCCCCGCUACGCCCCUCUUCACCCCCUUUGUGUUAUCCGGGGCCGGUUUUUAAUUAAUCCAUCCACGCCGCUUAUAAACGAUCGAUGCCCGUUCCCGUUUUACGAUCAACGCUUCCGUUCGCCUCUAAUCGACGUCGACCACCACGGAUUCUCACCCCUUUUUCACCCCGUGGCUAAACGGAGACCGGGUUUCUAGGGCGGAUCGUUGCGCUUCAUACAGAUGGUGAAUGUGAUGGUUGGUUGGCUGGUGGUGGUGGUGGUGUGGCGAUGCUUUUUAAGAUCUGCUUCUUUCUUUUUGCUUCUUAUUUUUUUGUUUCUUCUUCUUUUAUUAUUUCUUCUUUUUUUCUUCUUGCGGAGGAAGACGGAGGGUUUCUUCGUUUUUCUUCGCACGAGGAUCGUGCCUUUCCUAUAGGUUUCUGACUCUUUGCCUUUCUCUUUGUGCGCUUCUGUAUUGUGUGAAGAAGCAUUUCUUCUUUUCUUCGGUGUUUGUCUCUUCUUUUGAUUUUUAAUCGAGUACUCUGUAUCUUUGUCUUCUUUCUGAUUCUUCUUCGUUUUUCUUUGUGGAAUGUCGCGGUGGUGGUUGGUUGGUUAAUGGGGCAAUUGGAAACUGCUUCUUUUUUCUUCUUUUUGCUUGUAAGCGCAUUCUUUGUUUUCUUUGGAAUAAUCCGUUUCCCGCUCGAGGACUGUGGUUUUCUGAUUCUUUGUUUCGCUAUAUGCGCGAGUACUUUCUCUUCUUUUUAAUCGGCUUGCUUCUUCCUUCUCUCUUUAAUCGAUUACUUUGUAUCCUUUUUCGCUUGUCGUUUUCCUUUUCCUUGUUUUCUGAAUCUUCUUCUUUUUUCUUUGCGCAAUACCCACGGUUGGUUGGUUAGGUGACAGUAUCGGUGCUGAUGCUAUUUUUUUGUUCGUGAGAAUACUCUUCCUUUCCAUUGGGUUUCUUCGUUUCUCUUUGAUCGACGGAUCUUCUCUAUGGUUUUCCGAUUCUGUGUUCUCCUCUUUGUGUUUGAGUACACGAUAAAAAUUGUUGGUUUUCUCUUUCUUUUUUCUUCGGUCAGCUGCUUUUUUCCCUUUUCCCCCUUUUUAUUCGGACACCUUACCCUUUCUUUGAUUUCUCGAUUCUUCCCUUUUUUGUGUGCGAACAUUUUUUUCCCCUCUUUCUUCUUUGUGCACGAGGAACAGGUACUUUCUCUUCUUUUUCUUUUUCCUUCGUUUUUUCGGUUUUCUUCUUUUUUCACACAUUAAAUGAAUAUUUUUUAGUUAGUAAUUAUCCACCUUUUUUCGUUACGCGCGAACAAGUACUUUUUCUUCUUCCUCUCUCGUGGUCUUGAUCUUCCUUCUUCUCUCGCACAAUAAUUGAAUUUUUUAACGUACAUAUACAGGGUGUUUCCGAAAUCUACUGCUUCCGAAGAGCAAGUCGAACGUAUACAAUAUAAUUCUUCCACUUUCUUCUAACAUCCAACAGCGGGUAUUAGACGUUGUGUACAGAACAUAGAUCAUGCGAAUAGCAUGAGAAGCGCUGUAAGAAUCGUAGAAUCUAAUAUACAACUUUGGGACUAUUAAGUAUGCCAAAUGGAAUAUUGGAGCAGGAAAGAAGAAGAAAAAGAAGAUGGUCUAAAUAACGACAUAUUUCUCAGUACAUCGUAAAAAUGUACUUUUCUUAUACACACACACAUAUAUAGUUACAAUCUUUCUCUUUUUUUAAAUAUAUUUAUCUUCGCUUAUAGCUGUAACUAGAAAUACGCGAGGUACAAGGUAUUCCUCUUCGAUCAAAAAUUUCUCGCCAAUUCCAAAAAAUCAAAGAAUCCAUCGGCGUAAUUACCGAUAAGCGAUCGAUAAACGAAAACAGAGACGGAGAUAGAGACAGAGAGAGAGAGAGGGGGAGAGAGAGAGAGAGAGAGAGAGAGAGAGAGUGGCGAGGUGAACCGCUAAUUGCAAGCAAAAUCGAUUGUUUCCCCGUAUCAGAAAUUCAUAGGCUAACUCGGCCAACUAUCAACGAGCUUUGCCAACUUUCAGUUGCGCCGAGUUGAAAUCCUGCAAAUGUUGCAUCCAUCGUGUCGGCGGAAUCCAAUUAUCGAUGAACAUCGAACGAAAAUGGUUAAAUGGAAACACGAGCCUGAUAGUAUCUAUAACGUGAUCGUUAUCCUAACUUUGGUGAAAAGAUGCUUGCAAUCGUUAAUAGCGAUUCUUUCAGGAGUAAAAUUUGGCUCGGUAAAAGGACGUUUAUAACAGUAAUAAGAAAACUUGAUAAAUAAAUCUUUUUAGCUAAUUGUUUGUGUUUAAUCGUUGUGUUUUAAUUUGUUCGCUUGAUGGUGUUUGAUACGUUUGACGUUUAAAUAAAAUGUGAUAUUACUUAUUGUUGUAUAAUUAAUCGUCUUUCAAUGUUGUACAAUUUAUCGUGCAGUAUGCUGUUGUGAGCGUUCCUUCCUUUUUUUUCUUUUUUUUAUUUUAACAUUCUCUCGUUUUACGAACGUUUUUAAUUAAUUUCUCACAGCCGGGUAUUCUUGUUUUUCGAAUGGAUUAUCGAACAAAAGGUUAGAAUCGCCUUGUUAUUUAUUUUCCUCGCCAUUGUUAAAUACCUUCUAAAUUGCUCAGAUUAUUUCAGGCGAGUCUCAUAUUUUUUGCGGCGUGCUGAAUUUUUCUCUCUGUAAUACUCUUCUUUUCGUCGGAGUGAAAUUUUUCUAUCAAAAAUAUUUACUUUAUCAGCAAUCUCUUCACAGUACGUAGAAGGUUCGUCGUAAUUAAAAUUCCAUUUCUCUUCCAUCAGCAGCAUAAUUAAUGGUCUAAGACACUCGUCUGUUAUCAAAUAACAUUUCUACUUUACAAAACCACGAUAUUACUUACAAUUUUUGUCCCAAAAUGAUCUAUAAAAACUAUUUGUUAAUUAAAAUCCACCCUCGACAUUUAUACGUUCCAAAUCUGUUGUCUUCGUCUUAAUUAAAAUUGUCAAAUAUUCAUCUCUUUGUAGAUUAUAUAAUUUGCAAUAUCCCGAAUCUUCCACCCUCACAGCAAUUAAAAUAAAAAUAUCUUGGCUACUUCCAGAAUUAUAAUUCGAAAGCUCGCUAGGUAUAACGAUAUAAUUGUCAUUAAAAAAUUCCAGGAUAUUCAUUUCUCUCAAAAUCACAAUCCACCCCUUCACAACGUCUUGAAUCAUUCACCCUCGCAGUAAUUAAAAUUAAACAAGCUUGUCUUUUCGAGAAUGGCAGACCCAAUCGAAAAUCACAAUCAGCUCUUAACAAUAUCGCAAAUCAUUCAUCGCCCAGAGUAAUUAAACUUAAGCGAGUUUGUCCUUUGCAGAGUUACAACGUAUACCGGAAAAAACUCGAAACUUUUCACUCUGCAAAUGUCAUUAAAAUUCCAAAAUAUCCACUUGCCUGAGAAUCGCAAUCUACCCGUAACAAUAUCCCAAAUCAUUCUCAACCCCUGUAACGAAACUUCGCAAAGCUUCAUCAGAAUUAAAAUGCUCGCCCCUAGCAGCCAGGUCUUAAAAUAACGAAACAAAAUGACCUAGAAGAUAUACCUGGUGUCUCGGCUAAAUGAGAUCACCUAAAUACCUGCCUUAUCUACGAUUGUAUGAAAAAAUCUUUAUUUCAUGGGGCGCGUGAAACGGUGGAACGAAUUUUUUCUCGUUCAUUUUUUUUUUUUUUUUUUUUUUUUUAAGGAGAUUCCAAGGCCAACGGUAUAUUUACGAAUAGAACUUAAUAUACUCCUUUGCAUCGGUAGAUAUGACUUUUCAUUUUGUACAGUGAAAAGUAUCAAGGUGCUUUGCGUUUGAAAACGCUUCGUUUAAAAUACACCUUAAUUUCGUGAAACUGGUGAAAAGUUUUCCGAAGGUUUGAGUACAAAUACUCUUGCAUUUACGUUUCCCUUUAUUACCCUUGAUAUUUUCAUUCAUACAAAGUAUACAGAGCUGUGUAUAAAAAGACUGAAAAGACCUUGAAAUCCCCUGAAAGAAACGAGGUGAAAAAAUUCUUUCCACCGUUACGCGUGCCCCUUCAAAUUAGCUUAACUUUGCCCCGAACAAUCUUUUUCGCGCAAUCGUAAAUAAGGCAAGACAGAUUUAAUAUACGCGGUUUCGUUUAUCCGAGACAUCCUCCAUCGUAAUCCGUCUAAUAAAUUACGCUACAGCUGGUAAACAUUAUAUCAGAUGGUAAAUUAAGAUGGAGCUUUAAGAAGUAAACUAUGGCAGAAGCAGAACGUAUCAAACGUGCACAUGCUGAGAAAAGAUAGCAAUGGACAUAAGCUUCGCUGCAACGAACAAACGUCCACAACAUACAUAACAUACAUAGUGUAUUAAGAUACCAAUAUAAUCUAACAUAAUACAAUUAAUUGAGAAUACGAUUAAAAUUCUAUCCGACCGAACUUGACCCUUUAACAAGCCUUCUAACAACCCUGAAAAAUCCUUCUACCGAACUGCAAACCCAUCCAGCUGAACGUCACUGGCGUCCUCAAAAACCAUCCUCUCCAUCUGUCGACGCGUCCAUCCAACAUAAUGCAAAAGCUUUUGUCUACGAGAGCGAGAGAACGAGACAAGAUUCGCGUGUGAUUACUAAAAGUUCGUCUCUCGUCUUUCCUGCGUUCUCGGUGGCCUCGUCCGACGCCAGUUCCCUCUCGUUUCGCUUAUUCAGGGUUCGCUGCGACGAGCAACUGGCGCGCUUCGUCUUCUUCUUUUGAUUGGUUCGUUAGCAGAGAGACCGGCGCCCAUUCUACGUUACGUCGUGGAAUCAUAAAACGAACAGAGUGUAAAGAUCAGGGAGAAAGCGGAAGGGAUGAAAAGGCAGAAAGCCGGAGAGACCGAGAGAGGCGAGGCGAAGAGUCUUCUUCCGCGUCCUUGACUCCUAGAGUCCUCGUCUCUUCUUGCGCGAAGAAACCAACAGAAAUUACAGGGAACAGCGAUGACGCGGCGCUCCGCCAACAUCAUGCGAAUGAGAGAACGGGAUAGACACGUUUUGUUGCUUACCAAGGUAUUCGAAUUCCUCUAGACAUUUUUCUUGUUUUCGUUUUUUGGGAAUAUGUUGCGCGUCUUGUACGGAACAGCUCGAAAUUUCGCUCGCAAUAUUGAAAUCGAGUAUCGUGAUCGCGUUAGUAGACUAUACGCGAAAAAAGAAGUCGAAAAUAUCGAAUAAAAACGUUUUUUUUAAUUUUUCCAUCGAGACAACGAUGUACAGUGAGAUCCGUUAUAACGAGACGCGAUAAAGUGCACGCGUACCGAGCGAAAAUUCAAAGUCGAUUUCCUCGAAAACAAAGCCUCGAACGAAAAAAUUUUAUUCUAUAUUUUCGACUUCUUUUUUCGCGUAGAAUCACCCCCUUUCAGCUUGUACCACCAGUUACCAACCACUCUGUAUAUUAGGUUGCAAAAAGUUUCUUUGGUUUUAUGAGGAAACAUUUUAUCAGAAGCACAAGAUCUUUUCUUUUAUAUCGUUUUAUCGAAUUAUGCACGAUCCAUUUUGUUCUGUUUAAGAUAAAAAUACAUUUAUACAAAAUUAUACGAAAAUGUUUGUAUAAAGAUGCGUCGUUGUAAUAGACGUGUUUGCAAAAGAGAGACACUUUUGGUACAAUUUAACAUAUGGACGUUCCAAUAUAUCUGUUACAAGCAUACAUUCUGUAUUAUUUAUUAAGACAUUGUGAGUUUUAUAUGGAACAUUUUGAAAUUUCAUUGGCGGUAUCGAAAAUCGAGUAUCGUGAUCGUGCUGGUAGGAAACGAGCCUGGAAAAUUGGUUUACCUACCACGUGUUACAGAAAGCACUAUACUUUGGAUGCUUCGUGUAUCUCUUCACAUUACGUGCAUUCUGUGCAAUUUUGCCCACGCAAAUUUCCUAUAAAAAUCCACGAUCUACUCGUAAUAUUACUAUCUCCUGCUAUUUAUUUUCUGUAUCUUCUAUGAGACGCUCGAUAUUUAACGUGUAUUCGUUAAUUCCACGAGAUACUGAUACAACGGUAUUUAUCGCUGAUUGCUUACUCUGCUAGACUCUAUAAAUUUUCUCUGGCAAGCGUUCAAAUACUUUCGCGACCCACUGUGUACAGAACAAAACGAGAGAAUCGUAGGAGUCCAAGAAGCAGUUCGACUCGUCUUUUCCAUAAUAAGAACACGGUGAGCGCAUCCUCCUCGAAGCGCACUCUGUUAACCAGUUAGCCGCGUUUGACGAGUAUACACGUCCGACAAAAACCUCGUUCCGCUGCGCGUUUCACGCGUAUGCUUGUCGUCGCUUGUAUUUAUUCACGCACUCUGUGACCCAACACGACCCCCGUGACAGAUUUCUAAAACUAAAUUCCGCUGUUGACUGGUUAAACACUUAACAUUUAACGUGUCUUCGGUGUUCAUUAACUCGCCGAUAAAACAUAUUAAUAGAAGAAAAUAAAACGAACAAGCAAAAGAAUACAAAUGAUCAUCACGAAGCAGCUGUAUACAACGCGAACAAAGUAGUUGUCCUUUGCUUUCUAACACAUUUCAGGGACACACUUUUCAAAGAGAUCGCAACAACUAACCGGUUGGUAGUUAGUAAUCGAUCGGAAAUAAAACGUUGUCAAUGGAAGGUCGCGCGUAACGAACGAUCGUCAACUAAUUCCACAAGAUGACGUACCGAUGCAACCAUCAACAUACUGAUCUAUCGACGAACGCUUGGCCUGCUUACCCUGCUGGACUCCCCGUCUCUGGCAAGCGUUCAAAUACUUUCGUGACCCAGUGUGUACGCAACAAAACAAUACAAUGGCAGCAGCGGCUUCCCAAGAAACGUAGGAGUCCGAGGAACUCAUCCUCUCGAUAGCAAGAACACCGUGCACCCUCCUCGAAGCGCGUAUGAAUUAUCAUUACGGAUGGUCAGACACGAAUAAGAGGCUGUGGAAUCUCGAGGAAAAAGCCUGGCCAGGCCACUGGUCGAGUGUUUUCAUGUAUAAUGGAUGAGAGACAGGCGCCAGCCGACCUAUGAGCAGGCCCGCAACCAUGAUCGCUGCGACAUCCCGGUCGACAGCUGGCCGAUUAUUCUCAGCCAGACACCGAAUCGACCUUCCUUCGUACUUGUCCCAACUGGCUCAUCCACUUUCUGCUUAUUCCUCGGCAUUCUAAUUCGCGUCCGCUCUCCACCAGGCUUCGCUCAACGUCGAUCCGGAUAUCCGCACGUGCGCAGCAACGCGACGAAUUUCCCAGUUUUCUUCUCGAAGACUCGUGAAAUCGAGGCUCGAGAUACAUUCGAGCAAAUGGAAACUCAACGAGUUUUCGCUGCGUCGAAUGGAGAGGAGGAUGAUGGUUUUAACGAUCCUUAGAGAUGGCAGACUGCCAGUCGAUCGGUUGCUGGCGAUGGGGAUAAAUGGUUUCUUGGAUGAUCUGACGCGGAUCGACCCGGCUCGUUAUAACGUGGCGCAGAUGUUACAUGUGUAAUGAAUCGGCUGAUUAUCUUCUGCUCUUAGGGGAAAUGAAUAUGAACGAUCAAUUCUGCUCGCUUCUGCUUCGUCUUUGCAUUGUAUUUCCUCGGACGUCUUCCUUUUCCGAAUAUCUUGUUGCUGCAAGACCGCAAUAUGUAUAGACGCUAAUGAAAUUAUGUUGGAUAUUAAAAGCAAAUACUUGAGAGCUGUAUAUAUAUAUUUCGAUGAUAUCCGUCGAAAUAUAACGUCCAUUUUCGGUCAUUUAGAUUCGAGAGAACAGGUUUAGGCAGAGCUAAUAUUUGCAAUUGUUACUUGCAAGAACUGCGGUACGUAAUUAACUUGACAUUCUCGGAAUAUUGACUUACAAAACAUUUGCAUAUACUGCGUUGUUGUUUAUCGUUAUUGCCAAAUAUAUAUCGUUGUGUGUAUUUGUAUACACUAAUUGGUAUACUUGUGUUGUUAUAUUAUUCUUAUUAUAUCAUUAUACAUUACUGUUAUUUAAAAGAAGCGCACUAUAAAAUUAUCUUCUCGAGUAAGAAGAUCGUUCACUCUUCCCUAGUGUGUGUGCAUCUCAGAAAAUAUUAUAAAAACUGCGUAUAAUUUCUUCUUUUUUGAAUUGAAGAUACGUGUUACGAUUAUUCCCUGAUCAAAUGAAUAUUUUUAUACAUAUAUCGUUGUGUGCGUUUGUAUACACUAAUUGGUAUACUUGUGUUGUUAUAUUAUUCUUAUUAUAUCAUUAUACAUUACUGUUAUUUAAAUGAAGCGCAUUAUAAAAUUAUCUUCUUGAGUAAGAAGAUCGUUCACUCUUCCCUGGUGUGUGUGCAUCUCAAAAAAUAUUAUAAAAACUGCGUAUAAUUUCUUCUUUUUUGAAUUGAAGAUACGUUGAAGAUACGAUUAUUCCCUAAUCAAAUGAAUAUUUUUAUACAUAUAUCGUUGUGUGCGUUUGUAUACACUAAUUGGUAUACUUGUGUUGUUAUAUUAUUCUUAUUAUAUCAUUAUACAUUACUGUUAUUUAAAUGAAGCGCAUUAUAAAAUUAUCUUCUUGAGUAAGAAGAUCGUUCACUCUUCCCUAGUGUGUGUGCAUCUCAGAAAAUGUUAUAAAAACUGCGUAUAACUUCUUCUUUUUUGAAUUGAAGAUACGUGUUACGAUUAUUCCCUGAUCAAAUGAAUAUUUUUAUACAUAUAUCGUUGUGUGCGUUUGUAUACACUAAUUGGUAUACUUGUGUUGUCAUAUUAUUCUUAUUAUAUCAUUAUACAUUACUGUUAUUUAAAAGAAGCGCACUAUAAAAUUAUCUUCUUGAGUAAGAAGAUCGUUCACUCUUCCCUAGUGUGUGUGCAUCUCAGAAAAUAUUAUAAAAACUGCGUAUAAUUUCUUCUUUUUUGAAUUGAAGAUACGUUGAAGAUACGAUUAUUCCCUGAUCAAAUGAAUAUUUUUAUAUAAAGGUAAUAACACUUGGCGUGUCGUUCUAUGUGACAUGCUAGGGAAACGCGAAUGGAUUUAUCGCUCAGCCUAACACAUCGUAAUCAAAAUCUGCAAAAUCGUAGUUCUCCUCCAAUUAGCCUUAUCAAAAUCCAUUUGUGCCGACAAACAACUUUGUUUGGUAUGCAAUUAAGCUUGUUGGAUCGUACGAAGCCCUUGCAGCCCUUCCAAAGAGGGCUAUCUAUCCCAGGGAGAGCUAAACAAGACCUCUCAUCAAAAAUACCCCAUUCGCUCAAAGAACUCGCAAACGUAUACUACCCUUAACAAAGAGCUACGUGAUUCGUUUCUAAAAAGAAGAAAGGGGAAAAAAAUAGAAGAAGAAGAAGAAAAUAAAAUGGUCUCACAAGAUUUUCGUACCAACGUACGAGGGAGCAGCAGAAGAAGAAGAAAAAGAAGAAGGGGAGGAAAAAGAGUGUAGGAAAGAAGAAAGGGGUUGGCAGGCUCUUAAUUGGAAUUUAUUAGAACGAGUAUUCGAGUUCUGUGAAGCUGGUGAGUACUGUGCAAAAGUCCCACGUCACUCACUCGCUUGCCAAACGUACGUAUUUUAUUGUUAUUUUGCAAGUUAAUUUCCAACGUUUGGAAAAAUUAAUGGAACAGAGGGCUGGAUUAUUCGAAGCUCGAUUAUCCGAACCGGCGUCUCAUCGUCGUUAUCAGCACCGGUUCUUGGAACUGGCAAGAUUAUUACUUUAAACAAUAAACUUUCUUAACGUUAAGCAGUAUGCAAUUACUAUGUAUCGUACAUAUUUGGUUUUUGUUCUUUAUUCGUGUAAGAGGAUAUACGUAUCUAUGUAAUAAAUAAAAUGAUAGGUAUAUCGUUGUUUCAAAGAAUUUCUUCAGAAAUGAAUUAAUAUUAUAUUAAACGUGUUUUUUACAACAGUGCGCCUUCAUACAAACGUGAAAGCGAGUGUGUGAAAUGUCGCGGUGUUUAUCUCAACAGAACGAAAUGGAUCGUACGUAAUUCGGCAAAAUAAUAUAAAACAAAAAAACGUUGUGCGUCUAUUAUUUUUCCUCAUAAGACGAAAGAAACUUGUCGGACAACCUAAUAAUAUUUCGCGUGAUAUAUACAGCGGUGAUAGUCUUUUUACGGUUAAUUCCUAUGACUAUUCAUCGGAUAAAUAGAUACAUGUUUCAUUAUCCGAACAAUUCGAUUUUCCGAACCACCUCGGCCCCAAUUCAUUCGGAUAAUUAACAUUUAACUGUACAUUAAUAACGAGUAUGAUUAACAUUGAAAUAUUAGUAUUAAUAAAGAUACUGAAUAUUACAUAGUUAAUAGAUAGAUUAGAUGAACAGUAAAAUAAUUCAUGGUUAAUAUUAAACAAAUAGACAGUAGAUAUGUAACGAUAAAAUAAGGUUGUAUGUAUGUGUGUUUGUGUGUGUAGAUGAUGAAAUAAGAAUACAAGGAAAUAAGGAAAAUAAUCGUAAACCUAAGUAAAAAAAAAAAAAAAAAAAACUAAAUAAAAAUGAACUGCUAGUGCUACUAUCACUGAAUAUUAUCCUUUAAUUCGUCGCAUAAUUAAUUAAGAAGAGCUUCGUUGAAGAAUCAGAAUCGAUAUGGUGAAAAGUACGCGAAUAUGCAAUAUUUGCUUAUUUGUCACGAUGAAUUGAGCUACGUUACAACGUAUAAGUUUUCUCUUUCCCCUGGAAAAUUCGUUUUUUCUCACCUACAGUGUUCUCUGCAAGAACCUCUCGAUUUUAUGUUUCAUAGAACAAAGUUAUAAAAAUGUAAUAAAUCGUCAAGUUAAUAUACGACAGAGAAUUGGUGUUUUUUUUUUCAUAUUUGCAAUAAAAACUAUCGUACUCCGACCAGCUAUGCGAGAAUUUUUUUUUCCGUCGUUUUCAAGUGCCUACGAACCGAUUGCCAUUUAAAUCUCUCGGUAUCGCCAGAUUGCACCAGAUUUCACCGAGUCUAUCUUUCGAUCGAUGGUUACAACUCUGCUAAUUUUAUUUUGUACGAAACGCUGGCUUAUUUGACACGAUAAGAGCACUUUAUUUACAGUUUUAUUGUAUUUUAUCGCAACAGAAGAACCACCAACGUGCUGUCCCGAUCGAUUUCGCUUUUUCAUACGGAAACCUGUUGUAUUCGUUCGAAAUUCAAUCAAACUUCCUAGUUGGCUGGCCUUGAACAUCAAGAGUGCGCAAUUAUCGAAGUUGAACUUCGAAACUCGAUAAGUGGAUCGUGGAAACAGCGCUGUAAUAAUGUAUCGUGUAAUUUCGUAUUCGGUUUUCGUAAAUAUAGCCUAUAGUGACACGACUAAAGCACUAUGAAACUCUAGAAUUUUCGUAAUAGAAGUUGUACAGUUUUAAAGAGCAUUUCUGUCAAAAACUUCACAAAGAGAAAAAAAAAAAAAAAUAAAAAGAAGAAAAGAAGAAGAAAGACAGAGCACUUUAUGGUGAGCUGUAAUUUCGUUUAAAUAAUUGUCCAUCUAAAUUGUUCGUAGAAAGUCAAUCGAGCGUGUGAAAUCGCGAAACACUAACAAGGAAGGCAUCUCUCGCUGAUUUUGUCUCGUUUCGAAAUACGUUAUAGCGAAUGGACUGAAAAAUAACGUAUUUUUUUUUUUUUUUUCAAUUUUGUCGGCGGAAAAACAUUUUAAGGGAGUGGAGCAAACCAGCGAAAAUAAAAUCGUCAGGCGUCGAUUUCAUUGUUUCACCUAUACGAGCGCGGUACUCUUUUCACAUGAAAUCACCCGGAAAAAUUGUAUCGCAACAAGAGAUAAAAGACACGAUUUUGUUGAGCAAUUUUUUUAGCCUAAUCCCACAGCUCAACGAUGGCCAUAUAACAAUUUGUAAACGCAGAUGAAAUUGAAGCUGAAAAGUCUACAUCUAAAUACGUGUACUUUAUGUAAUAUUGGCUUGGCAACUAAGUGAUUGCGGAUUUUGUCAAUACCACCUGAUGACAAAAUCCGCGAUCACUUAGUUUCCAACCUGACACGAGAAAACUAAAUUCGCGUGUUUCCGGGCAUUUUCGAUAAAAUAACUUUUGAACAGAUAGCUAUCCUCCAACGUAUUUCGUCUCGUUCAAACGAGAAAAUAUAAUAAUUUACAACUUUUUUUUACCAUUAUGUAGCGUCCGUUAACAAAAAGUAUAUUUAUGACGAUUCGUUAUGAACUCAUCGGUAUAGUAACAGAAUAUCGCAAAAUUUUAGAUUUUUAAUUCGGUGGAAAAGGUCCCUCUCACGAUGGUCAUCGAACGGGACAUUUUCCAUUUACUUAGAAAUUCCGAAUUGUUUCAUUUUCCAUUGUCAUCGAUGUGCCUAUUUUUGUAAUGAUACCGAUGAUACGACGAUAGAUUUUUGUAAAA